GACGAACGCUGGCGGCGUGCCUAAUACAUGCAAGUAGAACGCACAGUUUAUACCGUAGCUUGCUACACCAUAGACUGUGAGGUGCGAACGGGUGAGUAACGCGUAGGUAACCUGCCUGGGAGCGGGGGAUAACUAUUGGAAACGAUAGCUAAUACCGCAUAAUAUUGAUUAUUGCAUGAUAAUUGAUUGAAAGAUGCUAUUGCAUCACUACCAGAUGGACCUGCGUUGUAUUAGCUAGUAGGGGAGGUAACGGCUCACCUAGGCGACGAUACAUAGCCGACCUGAGAGGGUGAUCCGCCACACUGGGAACGAGACACGGCCCAGACUCCCACGGGAGGCAGCAGUAGGGAAUCCUCGGCAAUGGACGAAAGUCUGAACGAGCAACGCCGCGUGAGUGAAGAAGGUUUUCGGAUCGUAAAGCUCUGUUGUAAGAGAAGAAAGGGUGUGAGAGUGGAAAGUUCACACUGUGACGGUAUCUUACCAGAAAGGCACGGCUAACUACGUG
rnacentral:rRNA from 1 species